CCUACGGGUGGCAGCAGUGGGGAAUAUUGGGCAAUGGAGGCAACUCUUACCCAGCAAUGCCGCGUGAAUGAAGAAGGUCUUCGGAUUGUAAAGUUCUUUAAUUGGGGACGAAAAAAAUGACGGUACCCAAGGAAUAAGCCCCGGCUAACUACGUGCCAGCAGCCGCGGUAAUACGUAGGGGGCAAGCGUUGUUCGGAAUGACUGGGCGUAAAGGGUGUGUAGGCGGUGUAGCAAGUUAGAAGUGAAAGCCCGGGGCCCAACCCCGGGACUGCUCUUGGAACUGCGUGGCUGGAGUGCAGGAGGGGCAGGCGGAAGGCCUGGUGUAGCGGUGAAAUGCGUAGAGAUCAGGAGGAACACCGGUGGCGAAGGCGGCCUGCUGGACUGCAACUGACGUUGAGGCCCGAAAGCGUGGGGAGCAAACAGGAUUAGAUACCCGGGUAGUC
rnacentral:rRNA from 1 species